rnacentral:rRNA from 1 species
AGUGAACGCUGGCGGUAGGCCUAACACAUGCAAGUCGAACGGCAGCACAGUAAGAGCUCGCUCUUACGGGUGGCGAGUGGCGGACGGGUGAGGAAUACAUCGGAAUCUACUUUUUCGUGGGGGAUAACGUAGGGAAACUUACGCUAAUACCGCAUACGACCUACGGGUGAAAGCAGGGGAUCUUCGGACCUUGCGCGAUUGAAUGAGCCGAUGUCGGAUUAGCUAGUUGGCGGGGUAAAGGCCCACCAAGGCGACGAUCCGUAGCUGGUCUGAGAGGAUGAUCAGCCACACUGGAACUGAGACACGGUCCAGACUCCUACGGGAGGCAGCAGUGGGGAAUAUUGGACAAUGGGCGCAAGCCUGAUCCAGCCAUACCGCGUGGGUGAAGAAGGCCUUCGGGUUGUAAAGCCCUUUUGUUGGGAAAGAAAAGCAGCAGGUUAAUACCCCGCUGUUCUGAAGGUACCCAAAGAAUAAGCACCGGCUAACUUCGUG